rnacentral:rRNA from 1 species
UACGGAGGAGGCAAGCGUUAUCCGGAAUUAUUGGGCGUAAAGCGUCCGUAGGUGGCUAGUCAAGUCUGCGGUCAAAGACUGGGGCUUAACCCUGGAAAGGCCGUGGAAACUGACGAGCUAGAGUGCAGUAGGGGUAGGGGGAAUUCCCGGUGUAGCGGUGAAAUGCGUAGAGCUCGGGAAGAACAUCGGUGGCGAAAGCGCUCUACUGGACUGCAACUGACACUCAGGGACGAAAGCUAGGGGAGCGAAUGGG